rnacentral:rRNA from 1 species
CUAACACAUGCAAGUCGAACGGUAGCACAGAGAGCUUGCUCUUGGGUGACGAGUGGCGGACGGGUGAGUAAUGUCUGGGAAACUGCCCGAUGGAGGGGGAUAACUACUGGAAACGGUAGCUAAUACCGCAUAACGUCGCAAGACCAAAGUGGGGGACCUUCGGGCCUCACACCAUCGGAUGUGCCCAGAUGGGAUUAGCUAGUAGGUGGGGUAAUGGCUCACCUAGGCGACGAUCCCUAGCUGGUCUGAGAGGAUGACCAGCCACACUGGAACUGAGACACGGUCCAGACUCCUACGGGAGGCAGCAGUGGGGAAUAUUGCACAAUGGGCGCAAGCCUGAUGCAGCCAUGCCGCGUGUAUGAAGAAGGCCUUCGGGUUGUAAAGUACUUUCAGCGAGGAGGAAGGCAUUGUGGUUAAUAACCUCAGUGAUUGACGUUACUCGCAGAAGAAGCACCGGCUAACUCCGUGCCAGCAGCCGCGGUAAUACGGAGGGUGCAAGCGUUAAUCGGAAUUACUGGGCGUAAAGCGCACGCAGGCGGUCUGUCAAGUCGGAUGUGAAAUCCCCGGGCUCAACCUGGGAACUGCAUUCGAAACUGGCAGGCUAGAGUCUUGUAGAGGGGGGUAGAAUUCCAGGUGUAGCGGUGAAAUGCGUAGAGAUCUGGAGGAAUACCGGUGGCGAAGGCGGCCCCCUGGACAAAGACUGACGCUCAGGUGCGAAAGCGUGGGGAGCAAACAGGAUUAGAUACCUGGUAGUCCACGCCGUAAACGAUGUCGACUUGGAGGUUGUGCCCUUGAGGCGUGCUUCCGGAGCUAACGCGUU